rnacentral:rRNA from 1 species
GACGAACGCUGGCGGCGUGCUUAACACAUGCAAGUCGAACGGAAAGGCCCUGCUUUUGUUGGGUGCUCGAGUGGCGAAGGGGUGAGUAACGCGGGAGUAACCUGCCCUUGACUUUGGGAUAACUUCAGGUAACUGGGGCUAAUACCGGAUAGGAGCUCCUGCUGCUUGGUGGGGGUUGGAAAGUUUCGGCGGUUGGGGAUGGACUCGCGGCUUAUCAGCUUGUUGGUGGGGUAGUGGCUUACCAAGGUUUUGACGGGUAGCCGGCCUGAGAGGGUGACCGGCCACAUUGGGACUGGGAUACGGCCCAGACUCCUACGGGAGGCAGCAGUGGGGAAUAUUGCACAAUGGGCGGAAGCCUGAUGCAGCAACGCCGCGUGCGGGAUGACGGCCUUCGGGUUGUAAACCGCUUUCGCCUGUGACGAAGCGUGAGUGACGGUAAUGGGUAAAGAAGCACCGGCUAACUACGUG